rnacentral:rRNA from 1 species
UACGUAGGGGGCAAGCGUUGUCCGGAAUCAUUGGGCGUAAAGCGCGUGUAGGCGGCCCGAUAAGUCCGCUGUGAAAGUCCAGGGCUCAACCCUGGGAUGCCGGUGGAUACUGUCGGGCUCGAGUCCGGAAGAGGCGAGUGGAAUUCCUGGUGUAGCGGUGAAAUGCGCAGAUAUCAGGAGGAACACCAAUGGCGAGGGCAGCUCGCUGGGACGUGACUGACGCUGAGACGCGAAAGCGUGGGGAGCAAACAGG